UUGGUCGCUAUUUUAGUCAAUUAUUUAUUUACUAGACGAGAAUUGCCCGUGCAAAGAAGCCGUAGGAAGUAACCAAUGUUUCAUUACCCAAUAUGAAAGGACUAAUCCCAAUAUCAGUAAAGGACUAAUCCCAAUAUUCAUUACCCAAAUAUGAAAUAUUCGAGGUUCAUUAUUCUCAAAUUCUGCAGAGUAGUAAUUACAACUAAACACUAUAUGAUGUAGUAUCCAUGAAUCAUAUGUCAAAUACUUAACCUACUGACUUUCAUUACCAUUCUUUUCCUCCAAACUGUAGGAGCUUGACGUCUUGACCUUUCAAGUAGCAUGUAGGCUGAAUCACUUAGUUUCGAUUGCAUGAUCACAAGUCCUGAAAAAUUGUCUUAUAAGCUUCUUUAAGAAAGCUGGUUAAAAAUCUUGAUUUGGUCGAUCAAAGUUUUAGGAUAUCAUGUGAAUGUGCUCUUGGAUCAACCUCAACACCACUUCUAAGCUGGCAUUGAUGUAUUCAUCAUUGCUCGAGACCCUGUACAUGGAUUGAUUAUUAACCAAAAAUAAAAAAUAAUUUCAUAAACAAGUAAAAGUGAUAGUAUACAUUAUAUCAAUUAAUUAUAUGUGUCAAGGAUGCUUUCAGAAGAAUAUAUGGUCUUAUUACGUAAGACAUAAAACUGGCACAAAGUACAAACAUAAAACCCCAUCAGAAGAACAAUGGAUGUGUGCUAGUAUUUCUAAGGAGGGAAAAGGGAGGGAGGGAGGAAGAAAGAUAAGUUGUACCAGCACAUCAUGGGAAAAAAAUAAGACAAAAUGGGUACACUAAUCCACAGACAGUAAAAAAUAUAUAAGCUUUAAGUAUACAGAAAAAUAAUGACAAAUCUAAAAGUAAAAGAAGGAAAGGCAUUUUGAAGGCAUUUACAAAUAUUACAGAUGCUAUGCGUGUCAAGAAAAAAAAUAAAUAUAAAUAGCAGCAAAAUAUGUCUAGAGGACUCAAAUUACAACUUGAAAAGAUUAUAACUUCAGUAAUUGAGGGGGAGAAUUAUCAAUAGAAAGUGUGCUAAUUAUAAGAUAGGGUAGAGACGGCUUCAGAGGAUGAUAACUUCAAUAAUUGAGAUGAUAUAAGAAAAAACUAUUAAGAGAGAAGUGGUAUCCAUAAGAUGAGCUAGAUAAGUAUUAUACUCACAAAAGUGAUCCCACUAAAUUCAAGUUAUAGCAAUACACAUGCCAACUUUUAUUUACUUUUAAUGAUUUCAAAUGGAGGAGAAAGAAGUAUACAGACAUUAUUCUAAACUCAAUCACUAAAAUAGCAAGUAGAUGUUCUUAGCCCAAAAAAUGAACAUGGAGACCAAUUAAUGAGUUGACUCUAAGUCAUAUGAACUUCAUAUUUUGGUCGUAUUCAACUGUUGCGCACAAUAGGAAACUACCUUUUCUCUAUAUGUUUGAAACUUUUGAGCUUAUUGUAUUCUUCUUUGCCAUAUGUGGUUCCUAUAAUCGAGAACAACAAAUUAGCAGACAUAUUGUUAAUUAUAAAGAAAUAACGAGUAAAUAGUGAAUCCAAUAUAAACCAAAGUGCUAACGUAAUCAUUCGCAGCAUUAUCUCUUCCUAGAUCUUUUUGCUAUGUUAAAUAACAAUCUUAACUCCAUAAAUUACUAUUCUGUAGUUUUUUCAAAAAUCAUGUACUUGAAUUACAGCUUGUUGUAAUACCUAAUGUUGCAACAUGUUAUUCUUUUGCAUAACUUAUUGUUCAACUAUAACUAGUAGGACUUAAAUGUAUUGAUUGUAUUCUUCUUCGCCAUAUGUGGUUCCUAUAAUCGAGCUGAUUGUUACAAUUGGAACGUCAAUUAUAAAGAAAUAACAAGUAAAUAGUGAAUCCAAUAUAAACCAAAUUGCUAACGUAAUCAUUCGCGGCAUUAUUUCUUCCUAGAUCGUUUUUGCUAUGUUAAAUAACAAUCUUAAUUCCAAAAAUUACUAUUAUGUAUUUUUUCAAAAAUCAUGUACUUGAAUUACAGCUUGUUGUAAUACCCAAUGCCGCAACAAGUUAUUCUUUUGCAUAACUUAUUGUUCAACUAUAACCAGUAGGACUUAAAUGUAUUGUCAUAGAAAAAUGUUAAUAGGUUAACAACACUUGAUCAAAAUCCUCUUGUGAAGUUUGACUAAUGAAAAAGUAUGGAGCUAAGAAAAAGAUUUAGUUGCUUCUCAGAAUCAACAGACAUACAAGUUAUACAAAUAUUUUUUUUACGUAGCGUGUCAUUAGCAGCCUAUUUCUCAUUAUAACUUUUAACUGAAAGUAACAGAUACCCAAAAGGAAUAGCAUUUCAGAACCCAAAAUAUAAAUUUAAUAAAAAAAUUCUUGAAGACAACUUAAAAAAGAAAAGAGAGAACAAGGCAUAAAAGUAUUAUAUUUUUAAUAUCUUAUGUGAACAUUGGUUAUGUCGCCGGUAAGCUAAAUUAUAGUUGAAAUAUGAUAUGCACAUCCCGCAAGUUCAAAUAGGCGGACAUUGUACCACUGAAUCCACAGUUUUUAUUUGGUAAGAAUGAAAACCGUGAGUUGUGAAUUAAAAAAAAUACUUAUAUUGAAAUGUGAAGUUCCUAAUUCAAAACAAUCAUGAUAAUAAGGUAACUGAUCCAUAGAAACAUAUUCGUGCUAUUCAUAUGGCAGCCACUGAAGCAAGUAAAUGGCAUUAAGAAAAACAACCUCCACAUCUUCUCAAUUUUAUUUUUCUAGUGAACCAUAAAAUGAUUCAAAAACUAACCACCAAUUAUCACAUUUAUGAUCCUAAAAUUCCUUACACUGCACUGACUACACAUUGACAACCCAUUAUGCACAUUACGAAACUCCUAAAAGUAUUUUAAUAGUCAAAAUAAUAAAAUAAAGGAAUCAAAAGUACAAAAUCUGCCAUUUCUAAUCAUGGAAUCAACUUUGAACCUCAUUCUAGAGGAGAUUGGAAGAAGAAUCAAAAGAGAAACAAUAAAAAUACAAAAAUAAGUGAGCGCAAGAAGAGGACUAUAAGAGCAUUGAGGAGGAGUCAAUGUGGAACGUAGUCUGGCAAUGCAAAUCAAAAUCUAAAAGGGGGUUAUACAUCAAAAUUUUAAAUUAACAAUUAGUAAAUUUCACCUGUUUUAAACUUUAAAAAAUUACAACAUUUCAAGGGGGUUACCUCAAAAUUAGUAGAGAAUCGACCUUCGACGGAUUAAUUAUGAUAUAUUAAAAAGGAAAAAAUAACAUAUAAACCCUUCAAAGAGAACAAUUGAAAGGAUAUACCUUAAUAUUCCUGUUCAACAGUUCGAAAGGUCCGAGAAUACUCUAUCCCAGUAGACGAUUGCUGCUCCAAGAGUUCAUUCAACAAAAAGCAACAUACAAGUUUAUCCCAAAUUGUGAAUCACAAAAUUGUGUUCAAAGUCUGAUUAGAGAUAAGACAAAGCAAAAUUCGUAAAAGAAGAUAUGAAGGGUAUGAAAAAGAUUGUGAGAGAGAUCUGCUACUAAUGGUAUACAAUUGCAGCUAGAACUCAUUAGCAAAUGGUAGACGAUUAACAAAGUAACAGUGAAAGAAAAUUCUAGAAAGAAGAGUGCGAGGAAGGACACGUAUGCUAGUAGAGUAAUAAAAAUUCAAUUUCAGAUCAGCUAUAGA
rnacentral:lncRNA from 1 species